rfam:Methanoregula formicica SMSP chromosome, complete genome.
GCGAUAAUAGUCUAGCGGUAGGACAGGAGCUUCCCAAGCUUCUAACCCGGGUUCGAUCCCCGGUUAUCGCA